GGCCGUGUGGCUCAAUGGCAGAGCGUCUGACUACGAUUCCGUCCAAUCAGAAGGUCGCAGGUUCGACCCCUGUCUCGGUCA
rnacentral:tRNA from 1 species